GCCAGCAGCCAUGUCACCCUGCAGCCCAAGACUGGUUGCCCACUGAAGCUAAGCAGGGCUGAGCUUGGUCAGUACCUGGAUGGGAGACCUCCUGAGAAAAAUCAUCCAGGUGGAUGCUGGAC
rnacentral:rRNA from 1 species